rnacentral:rRNA from 1 species
ACGGAAGGCAGCAGUGGGGGAUAUUGCACAAUGGAGGAAACUCUGAUGCAGCAACGCCGCGUGAGGGAAGACGGUCUUCGGAUUGUAAACCUAAGUUAUCAGGGACGAAGUCAAUUACGGUACCUGAAGAGAAAGCUCCGGCUAACUACGUGCCAGCAGCCGCGGUAAUACGUAGGGAGCGAGCGUUGUCCGGAUUUACUGGGUGUAAAGGGUGCGUAGGCGGGCUUGCAAGUCAGGCGUGAAAUCCCGCGGCUUAACUGAGGGGCUACGCUUGUAACUGUAGGACUUGAGUGAAGUAGAGGCAAGCGGAAUUCCUAGUGUAGCGGUGAAAUGCGUAGAUAUUAGGAGGAACACCAGUGGCGAAGGCGGCUUGCUGGGCUGUAACUGACGCUGAGGCACGAAAGUAUGGGGAGCAAACAGGAUUAGAUACCCUGGUA